UGAGAAGAAAGCCCUGUUCAGUCUUUUUAUUCUCUUGUCUAUUGCUAUUUGGUAAUUGUUGGAAAUUUAGUUUUCAUUCAAUUUGACUGUCUCCUAGAAAAAAUGCAGAGAGAUAUUUGGACCAUGCUUUGGCUUUCUGGUUCUAUGUUCUGCCAACCCCAGGGCCAAAAGAACUGGUCUAGACAGUAUCCCCUGUAGCCCCAUAACUCGAAUAGUUGCUGAGCCAGCCAGAUAUAACAAGAGCCACGUGCUCAUUUGGGUUUGUCUUUGGGAGCAGCUACUCCUCUCUCCGUUUCACCAGUACCGCUGCACCAAAAAACCCCUAUUUCUGCAAAUUUCCUUGGCUGUUCCCUACAAGACCAGACUUAGCAAGUGAGUUGCCAGUCUCUUAAUAAAUAGAACUAAUAAAAAAGUAGUUGUGGCUCAAUCUGGUUGUCUUGCUUUAUCUAAUGAAAGAACUAGUUUGUGCUAUUGUGUUGUCUAAAUAUCGCAUAUAAACCAUCAAUUUAAGUGUUUAGGUAGAAUAGAAAAUGGUUCCCUUUUUACAAUCUGUUUCAUCUUUUAUACUCAACUCAUAGAUAGAGGAAAUGUCUCACGUUAAAACAACUAGUUCAUGCUUUUCUGCAAAGGGCUAGCAUCAGACCUAUCACCCCAGCCCACGUCCCCUUGAUGUGAUGAGUGAGAACAGGAGGGUAUCAUAGGGUAAUGAAGAAUCACCCAACAGCUGUAUCAACUUUGUCAAUUUGUCAGCCACACUGAACCUCUGUUUUUUAUCUUUAAAAGGAGGAUGAGACUACCACUGCUUCACAGGGUUUUGCAUGUUUGUUUUUUUGCCCCUGCUGUUGUUAAGUGAAUGGACAUAUGAAGAGUACUUUGCUUGGUGUUUGGUCUACAGCUGAUGAUCAGUAAAUGGUAGUCUUAACAAUAUCUCCCAACCUGUUCAGUUUUUGGCUUCUUGGCAAUGCUAUUGUAAUAAGCUUUUUUAUAUUCAGACUGUAACCUAGGCCCAUACUUCAUCCUGUUCCUGAAUGGAUAAAUGCUCCAGACUCUAGUCUCAUAAAUAGAUCAAGCCAUCAGUUAUUCCCGAGCAUGUUCUGUAAUUCUAUUUGUUAAGCUUUUGGUUACAUGACUGACCAGAAAUUGUUUAAAAUAGAGGAGAAAUGUUCAUGUUAAGCUUUGCCUAAGUCCACCAACUAAAAUUCAAAAUAAAAGAGAGAAAGUGGCCAGUUGAUCCAUUUGCUGAGAUGAUGGGAAGGAGGGCCACAGUUGGCUGAGCACCUGCCAGGUACUGGUCUCUGUUAACCUUUUUAACUUCACGUUUCACCCUGUGAUGUGGGUGUUUUGUUAUAGAACUCCAUUUUAGAGGGAGGUGAGAAGACUCAGAAUGGUUAAAUUACUUGUCCAAGAUCGUCUAAUUCAUAAGAGGGCAGUCUAGAAUUUCAUUAUCCAAUUCAUUAGCUGCUAGCCAUAUGUGACUUUCAAGGAAUCAAACUAUGGCUAAUUUGAAUUAAGCUAUGCCAUAAGUGGAAAAUACAUAUCAGAUUCUGAAGACAGUACAAAAAAGAAAAUAAGAAUGUAAAAUACUCAUCAAUUUUUUAUAUUGAUUAUGUGUCUAAAUAAUACUAUAUUGGAUAUAUGUGGUUAAAUAAAG
ensembl:lncRNA